CCCAUUGACGAAGCCUGGAUUUCCUUGAGACAAACCAAGCACAUUGGCGCCAGCAAUUUUCCCCCGAGACGCUUGCAGCUUCCUGAUGAACCCCCGCUCAGCACAGAGACGUGAAGGGAACACGACACAUGCAGGACGGGAUAUUUGAUUCAUGCCUUGGCUUCUUCUUUGAUUAAAAUCUUGCCAUGUGUCUUUUAUCUAUUUAUUUAUUUAUUUAAGCAUAGUCUCAUGAAUGAUCCCAUAUUCUGAUCAUCACCAUAUUGACGUCUUCCCCCAUUUUUGCAUUCUGCAACACACGGACACAUAUUUGUGGACGUAGCAGAGGGUCUUAGUGGACAAGAGACGGCC
rnacentral:lncRNA from 1 species